rnacentral:lncRNA from 1 species
UUAUUGUAUUGCCAUCUAUUUUAUGUCUUAAGUCUAUUAGUAAUUGUUUCAUAGAGUUGGGAGCUCCAGUGUUAGGUUAUACAGUGGUUAUUGAACAGAAAGGACUAAGACAGUGAUGCAACAUGCCCAAGACACAACUAGUGAGAAAGAAAAAUGGGACACAUAUCCUGGUGUUCUGAUUCUAAAUAUAAUCCUUGUCCCAGUAUGCCAGGAGCUAGGAGGCAACACCUCAAAGAAGUAGAGAUGGAGAAGGAAGGCAAACAUAGCCACAGGUGAGACAGCUCAAUAAAUUUUAAUUGAAAAAAAAAAGUUAGAAAAGAAGUUGCUCUAGAUGACAAUUUGUCUAAAUGAUUAUUUG